AAAUAUACUUUAGCUUUAAGGUAGCCCCAAAA
rnacentral:sRNA from 1 species